UACAGAGGGUGCAAGCGUUGUUCGGAAUCAUUGGGCGUAAAGCGCGCGUAGGCGGUUACUUAAGUCGAAUGUGAAAGCCCUCGGCUUAACCGAGGAAGUGCAUCCGAAACUGAGUAGCUAGAGUACGAAAGAGGGUCGCGGAAUUCCCGGUGUAGAGGUGAAAUUCGUAGAUAUCGGGAGGAACACCGGUGGCGAAGGCGGCGACCUGGGUCGAGACUGACGCUGAGGCGCGAAAGCGUGGGGAGCAAACAGG
rnacentral:rRNA from 1 species